AGAGCGAACGCUGGCGGCAGGCUUAACACAUGCAAGUCGAGCGGGCGUAGCAAUACGUCAGCGGCAGACGGGUGAGUAACGCGUGGGAACAUACCUUUUGGUUCGGAACAACACAGGGAAACUUGUGCUAAUACCGGAUAAGCCCUUACGGGGAAAGAUUUAUCGCCGAAAGAUUGGCCCGCGUCUGAUUAGCUAGUUGGUGGGGUAACGGCCCACCAAGGCGACGAUCAGUAGCUGGUCUGAGAGGAUGAUCAGCCACAUUGGGACUGAGACACGGCCCAAACUCCUACGGGAGGCAGCAGUGGGGAAUAUUGGACAAUGGGCGAAAGCCUGAUCCAGCCAUGCCGCGUGAGUGAUGAAGGCCCUAGGGUUGUAAAGCUCUUUGUGCGGGAAGAUAAUGACGGUACCGCAAGAAUAAGCCCGGCGUAACUUCGCGCCAGCAGCCGC
rnacentral:rRNA from 1 species